GCCCCAAUGACAAAACCAUACAAUGUUACUUCAAAUGGUGGUAGAUAUGUUGUUGUGCUAGCUAGCUAGCUAGCUAGCUGCUUGCUCUACAAUGUGCUACGUUGCACUGAAAUCGGAAUCCUCGUGGAAAUGCCCCAAUGACAAAACCAUACAAUUACAUUCAUGGGUUUCAACAAUUGGAAGACUCGAGCAGCUCACAAUUCAGAAAGAAUGUGACACAUUCUCAGGGCCAGUACUUUUAUGGUUUUAUUUUAAAGAUUUUUCUCUUUUUUUCCCAAACUUCCUAGUCCUACCGCGCCUGAUGCACUGGGAGUAAUCCUGACAUUCAACAUUGCCUCAAAAAUAACUCCGUAAGAAUUCAGGUGAUUGUUGCCGUGGUAUCAGAAGAGGCAGUACGGUUACGACACAACAGCCUUAACCAGCAUUUGUUACAAGCAGAUGUACCUACAAGAAGGUAAACUACCAAAAAUACUGCCGUCUAACACAAAGCGGUCACAUGUUUCACUCAGUGGAAGAAAGGGGGGGAAAAAAAGCACACAAAAUGUUAAUUAUUUUUCUAAAUAGAAGUUCCCAUAUGAUAUGAACAUGUCUUCUAAUCUAAACCAGCAGCAAAAGAGCCUUUAUAGAAACGAAGUUACAAGAGUCAUAAAAAAAAGCUCAUUUCAAAUAUUUGAAUGCUGCCUCUCCCACACUUUCAUUCCAAUUUCUCCUCGUCAAAUCAUCUACAUGGGGCUCAAAGUUUUGCUGCUAUUGCAUUUGCCAGCUGUCCUUUUCCGGUAAAUGCUGACAGUGGUUAGCAUGGUCCACACAUCCCUCCACAUUUUUUUAAUGCUAAUGCUUGAAGUGUUGAAUCACAUUUGAAUGUUAAUUUAUGCUUUUAGAAUAAAUUAUUGUGGGGUAUUUUUUAUUAUUGUGUUGAGUUAUUAUAGUCUGUUAUUUUCAUAGGAUUGCCCCCCCCCCCUAUCCUUGGUUGUAUUAAUAGUUUUGAGUCUAUGCUUUCUUGAGCGCAACAUGAAAAUUGAAAUGUAUUCUGGUUUGUGUGCAAAUGAUUUGUUUUACAUUGCAGCAUUGUCGUACACAAAGUUGCAGGAUAUUAACUACGGUAUUAGGUUUAUUACAAUCCCUGUUUUUUUUUUUUUUUGUGGGGGCUAUAUUGUGGAAAAACUGUUCAAAUUUGAGUCCAUCCAACAUAAAGCUCUUAUAAUAUUGUUUAAAACCCAUCACUGUGUACGUAUCACUCAUUUGGUGGUAAUAAAUGUCUCUUAAGCAAUUGAUUGUACAUUUGGAAAUAUUCAGGCCCGUGUUGAAGUCCUGGCAUGUUUUGUAUUGUGCACUCUGACCAAAUAUAUACUUAGCGGUAAUCCAUUUGCAUUGCAUUUUCUUUUCUUUCUUUUUUUUUUUUUUAAAUCAAUGCGUUGAAACAUCCUCAUAUGUUGUGCUACCGUUUUAGCCGACUUGUCAUUAUGGUUAUCAACUCUUACUUUUGCAUUCAAAA